AUGCCACCUGUAAAAUUAUGAUUUUAUUCCUAUGCUUUUCUUUAUAUUUUCUGUCUACUUAACUGGAACACAGGAAUUUUAUAUUAUGAUCUUUUUAAAUCUGUGCAACAGAUUGUUCCAGAAGUUUCUUACAUACCUUUUAGAAAUAACACAUUAAUUUUGACUGUAUUUUUCAAGGGAAUUAUCUGGCUUUGUUUUACAGAAGACUCUUCUAAGAGGUUUAACACCAUUUUUAUUAUAAACUAUAACUCAUGAUAACAUACAAAUUUAUAUAAGUAUAUAAAGGCCAGCUUAAUGUUUUUUAUUUUGAGAAGCAUGAAGUUCUCCCUAUGUACUAGAUAAAGGCAACACUUCUACUUACAUAGGGUACACUGUACUUAUUUUAGAAUCUGGCUCAUUUUUCUCCUUAUCCCUCUUUGGGGUCAAGUUUUCAGUUGGCAGUAGGAGUGGAGGUUUGAGGGGCAGAUCAAGGCCAAACUUUCUAACUAGCCUUUCUUCCUACCCAUUUCUUCCUUCUCUUUUGUUGGAGUCAAGGUUUAGGUUCAAAUAUGGGCAGAGACUGGGAGGUGGGAGGGUAGUGGGUUGGGACAUCUGGGGUUAAGUCUUCUGCUUUACAGCUGAGAAAUUGUUUACAAUCAAGAGAUGGAAAUAAGCAAAUACAUUGAGGGUAAUGGGAGCUAAGUUUCUCAGCGUCAACAAAGAGAAUUGUACAUAUGGAAAGGGGGAAGCCUAAAACCAACUCUGUGGUGUUGAAUUAGAAUUAGAGGUAUCAGUAUGAUCUCAUUGCUUUGCUAGCUAGGUAGGUAGGGGUGUGUAUGAGUGUGUGUGUGUGUGUGUGUGUGUGUGUGUGUUUGUGUGUGUAUUUCCUAGCUGUGUCUGGGUAUAAUAGCAGUGAGCACACCUAGCACCCAGACCUUGGUUUCUAAAUAUUUUUCACUAAAAAGACCCAGACCAGGGAUCUUUGAAGAAAUGGUUGACUCUCUCACUAGGCAUUUUAUAUCAUGAAGUAAGGAAGCCCUCAAAUAGUAAUUGACACAUGCCCCAAAGGGCACAGUAACAGGUUUGAAGGAUUAGUGUUGACCAAUUCUGAGACCAUCUGAGUAUCAAAAUAAAUGUUAUAAACAGAUUGUAACCUUUUGAGUAAAAUAGAACUCCAGAAAUCCACACUAAUAUUAAAUAUAUAAAUGAAGAACAGAAAAUUCUGAAUGUCAUUUAGUAAAUCUAGAACCUUGGCACUAAUGACAUUUUGGGAAAGAUAAUUGUUUUGAGUGGGAGAGUAACGGUCUGGUGUAUUGUAGGAUGUUUAGCAUUAUCCUUGACCUCUACCUUCUAGAUAGUCGCAUCCCUCCUGCCCUCAACCUCUAGUUGUGAAAAGCAAAAAUGUCUUCAGGCAUUGCCACAUUGCAAUGAGGAGGCACAAUUGCACCCUCUGUCCUCAUUUGACAACCACUGAUCUGGAAAGAAUGAUGGAAUUAGAAAAUUACCAUUUGGUAACUAUCAUAGUAAUAACUAACUUCAGCGUGGAUUAUCAGUGGAUACUAAAGUAAGUGAACAUAUGAUGAAGAGUAAGAUAUCUUAAUCUCAAAAUAUCUCCACGAAGCACUAACUAGUUAGUAACUGAUAAAUACCAUAUGCUUCUAAUUAACUUUACAGUGGGAAAGCCCAGCAGACACCACUUUAACCAAGAAAUAAAAAUUAAUAUCACGUGCCUCCUAAUAUAGUGCAGUGACAGAAGAGAGCAUUGCUUCUGUGGUAUUCCUGCUGAAAAUCACAAAUCGUGAGGAAAAUCCUACAAAACCAAACUGGGAGACAUUUCACAAGGUUAACUGGACUGUACUUUUCCAAAAAGUUAAGAUCAUGGAAGAUAGAACUGUUAUAGAUUGAAGGAAAAAAAAAAAAGAGACAUGAUCACUAAAUGUAACAUGUGAUUAUGGAGUGGAUCCUGGACCUAUAAAGGACAUUAUAGGCAUGAUCAGAGAAAUUUGAAUAGGUUUUGUGGAUUAGAUGGUAAUAUAUCAGUGUUUAUUUCCUGAUUUUGACAAUUUAACUGUGGUCAUACAGAUGAGUUCCUCAAACACACUACGUUUCCUUGAGAAUAUUUCAGUCUCUGUUCACGGUGUCUUUUGUCAGUUCUUCUGAUGAGUGGCACUAUUUCAUCUUUUGGGACGCACGUUUUCACCUUCUCAGAGAGGCCAUCCCUAAUUGCCUUAUCUAUUGUACCUAUCUUUCCCAAAUCCCUGUCACUCCAUGUUGCUUAUUUUAUUCAUAACCUUCACUAUUACCUGUUAUUACCUUCUUAUUUCUUUGUCCCUCUGCUGAAAGGAAGCUCAUGAGAGCAGAAGCUUUCUCUGUGCUGCACCCUCAGUCUGAACCAGUGCCAGAUAUCUUAGUGGACUUGUAAUAACCAUUUCUUGAAUCAGUAACUCUACUGUGAAAUCUGGCCUUCUACAUUAGCCACUUGGUCAUGUAACCAACCUGGGUAUGUUAAGAUGUUGUAGGAAUUAGUAUCUAUUGAAAAAAAAAAAGAUAAAA